rnacentral:rRNA from 1 species
AAUCAACGCUGGCGGCGUGCCUCAGACAUGCAAGUCGAACGAUUAAGACUCUCUUCGGAGAGUGCAUAAAGUGGCGCACGGGUGAGUAACACGUAAGUAAUCUACCCUCGAGUGGGAAUAACGUUCGGAAACGAACGCUAAUACCGCAUAAUGCAGCGGCAUCGCAAGAUGACAGUUGUUAAAAGGAGUAAUUCGCUUGA